rnacentral:rRNA from 1 species
UUUGAGAGAAGGGAUGACACAGUAGGAUAAGCUAAGCACACUGUUGGUUAUGUGUGCCCAAGCAUUGAGGCAGUCAAAGUAGGCAAAUCCGCUUUGAUAAUGCUGGGAUGUGAUGGGGAGCGAAAUUUAGUAGCGAAGUAGCUGAUUUCACACUGUCAAGAAAAGUCUCUAUCGAGGUUAAAGGUACCCGUACCGCAAACCGACACAGGUGGGUGAGGAGAGUAUCCUAAGGCCAGCGAGAGAACUGUUGUUAAGGAACUCGGCAAAAUGACCCCGUAACUUAGGGAUAAGGGGUGCCACCAUCAGGUGGCCGCAGAGAAUAGGCCCAAGCGACUGUUUACCAAAAACAUAGGUUUCUGCUAAGUCGCAAGACGAUGUAUAGGAGCUGACGCCUGCCCGGUGCUGGAAGGUUAAGGGGAUCUGUUAGAGCAAUCGAAGCAGUGAACUUAAGCCCCAGUAAACGGCGGCCGUAACUAUAACGGUCCUAAGGUAGCGAAAUUCCUUGUCGGGUAAGUUCCGACCCGCACGAAAGGCGUAACGAUUUGGGCACUGUCUCAACAACAGACUCGGUGAAAUUGUAAUUCCGGUGAAGAUGCCGGAUACCUGCGACAGGACGGAAAGACCCCAUGGAGCUUUACUGUAGCUUGACAUUGGGUCUUGGUACUACAUGUACAGGAUAGGUGGGAGGCUUUGAAACCAGGACGCCAGUUUUGGCGGAGCCAUCCUUGGGAUACCACCCUUGUAGUACUGGGA